GACGAACGCUGGCGGCGUGCUUAACACAUGCAAGUCGAACGGAAAGGCCCCUUUGGGGGUACUCGAGUGGCGAACGGGUGAGUAACACGUGAGUAACCUGCCCUUGACUUUGGGAUAACUUCAGGAAACUGGGGCUAAUACCGGAUAGGAAUCCUUGCUGCAUGGUGGGGGUUGGAAAGCUUCGGCGGUUUUGGAUGGACUCGCGGCUUAUCAGCUUGUUGGUGGGGUAGUGGCUUACCAAGGCGUCGACGGGUAGCCGGCCUGAGAGGGUGACCGGCCACAUUGGGACUGAGAUACGGCCCAGACUCCUACGGGAGGCAGCAGUGGGGAAUAUUGCACAAUGGGCGCAAGCCUGAUGCAGCAACGCCGCGUGCGGGAUGACGGCCUUCGGGUUGUAAACCGCUUUCAGCAGGGGCGAAGCUUGUGGUGACGGUACCUGCAGAAGAAGCACCGGCUAACUACGUG
rnacentral:rRNA from 1 species